GGCCUGCGCGGAAGAUGUAACGGGGCUAAACCAUGCACCGAAGCUGCGGCAGCGAACGUAUCACUUAAAGCGAUUCAGCGGGUUACGAUUGACGGAGCGAAGCGACGUCAAAGCGUAUACAAAGUCGAGUCGGUUUAAGGAUACGUUCGUUGGGUAGGGGAGCGUUCUGUAAGCCUGCGAAGGUGGCCUGUGAGGGUUGCUGGAGGUAUCAGAAGUGCGAAUGCUGACAUAAGUAACGAUAAAGCGGGUGAAAAGCCCGCUCGCCGGAAGACCAAGGGUUCCUGUCCAACGUUAAUCGGGGCAGGGUGAGUCGACCCCUAAGGCGAGGCCGAAAGGCGUAGUCGAUGGGAAACGGGUUAAUAUUCCCGUACUUGGUGUUACUGCGAAGGGGGGACGGAGAAGGCUAUGUUGGCCGGGCGACGGUUGUCCCGGUUUAAGCGUGUAGGUGUGUGUUCCAGGUAAAUCCGGUUCACUUUAACACUGAGGCGUGACGACGAGGCACUACGGUGCUGAAGCAACAAAUGCCCUGCUUCCAGGAAAAGCCUCU
rnacentral:rRNA from 1 species